rnacentral:rRNA from 1 species
UACGAAGGGGGCUAGCGUUGCUCGGAAUUACUGGGCGUAAAGCGCACGUAGGCGGUCUUUUAAGUCGGGGGUGAAAUCCUGGAGCUCAACUCCAGAACUGCCUUCGAUACUGGAAGACUCGAGUCCGGGAGAGGUGAGUGGAACUGCGAGUGUAGAGGUGAAAUUCGUAGAUAUUCGCAAGAACACCAGUGGCGAAGGCGGCAUCCUGGACCGACACUGACGCUGAGGAGCGAAAGCCAGGGGAGCAAACGGG